rnacentral:rRNA from 1 species
UACGUAGGGUGCAAGCGUUGUCCGGAAUUAUUGGGCGUAAAGAGCUCGUAGGCGGCUUGUCACGUCGACUGUGAAAACCCGGGGCUCAACUCCGGGCCUGCAGUCGAUACGGGCUGGCUUGAGUGCGGUAGGGGAGACUGGAAUUCCAGGUGUAGCGGUGAAAUGCGUAGAUAUCUGGAGGAAUACCGGUGGCGAAGGCGGCAUCCUGGACCAUUACUGACGCUGAGGCGCGAAAGCUAGGGGAGCAAACGGG